AUUGAACGCUGGCGGCAGGCCUAACACAUGCAAGUCGAGUGAGCGGCGGGCGGGUGAUUAAUGCCUGGGAAUUGCUUAGUCGGGGGGGAUAACAGUUGGAAACGACUGCUAAUACCGCAUUCGAUUGUAUUGCCCAGGUGGGAUUAGCUGGUUGGUGGGGUAAUGGCUCACCAAGGCGACGAUCCCUAGCUGGUCUGAGAGGAUGACCAGCCACACUGGAACUGAGACACGGUCCAGACUCCUACGGGAGGCAGCAGUGGGGAAUAUUGCACAAUGGGGGAAACCCUGAUGCAGCCAUGCCGCGUGUGUGAAGAAGGCCUUCGGGUUGUAAAGCACUUUCAGCGAGGAGGCGUUACUCGCAGAAGAAGCACCGGCUAACUCCGUGCCAGCAGCCGCGGUAAUUC
rnacentral:rRNA from 1 species